rnacentral:sRNA from 1 species
GCCGACGUGCGAAACCGUAAAAAAAACAGUAUAAAAGUGGCGAAUAAAGAACGCUUUACAGAACUGCUUCACACGAGGAUAAUGGAUAACCUUGUCAAGCUAGGCCACCCAGCCAUCUUCAUCGUAAUCGGGGACUAAACGCACGACCAGGGUGCCGAUCCUUUACGCCAUCCUCGCUAAGUCGACGAUGAACACCGGCCUAAUGUGUUUUGGUGGAAGGAUUAAGUCAUAUCACUUCGACCAUAGAAAGAAGCUGGCAAUGAAUGGCGGUUGGCAAGGUGGACGUAAAAAAGGCAGACUUGUUGGAUGACAUUGAUUGGGAAUGGGAUGGACUAAGCAAGGUUCUUAAUGGAUCUUUGGGAGACCAAUGCCAUGGCACAGUUUGAGGCAUUAGUAAAUAAUCAACUGAAGCGGAGCACCUCAUACAAUCUGCAGAACUAAAAGCGCGUGCUAGAGCGUCAUUGUAAGCAAAAAGAACAGGAGAUGGUGAAGAAGACAGUAGAACAGGAUACGGCUGACGACGGAGAAAGGCGUCAAGCUCAUCGUAAUUGGUCGCGAACAUGAACGAACCUGUGCGAUUACCACACCAAGUCGACGGGGAGACCGGCUGAAUGUGUUUUGGUACUAGACGAACAAUAAUGAGGCCAUAUUAAACCAAUUUUGGACACCAGCGAACACAAGAGCCACCCUGCUUAGUUCAGAAAUACGUCGGUCAAGUACACCAAUCUAGAGGGCGGACCAUAGGCAAAGAAAGGAGCCAAUAAAGAGGAAGCUUAGAUUGCUGAAGGGACAGAUUCGGCCAAGGAUCCGGAUUCCCAUUCUGAGCACCACAUUAAGAGUGGCAUGCUGCACGCCGGAAACCAAUCGAAGGAGGAGGAGCUGCAGUCGCUAAGGCUUUCCCUUGACUAAGGGACCAGAUCGCAAACAAGCUAGGCAAGCAACAGCGGAUGGAGCUCAAAAGGCUACUGGUUGGCGGACGGAACAGAACUGGCGGUAGUAGCGGGCUUUCUAUACAAAUUUGAUGGCGUGAAGUGACUGGACUGGCCGUCGGAGCAGCUUGAGAAUCGUCACAUGGCCGCACCGCUUUCAAAAAAGGGAAGGAAUUCGAAGCAGAGUCGCGGCCAGCAGAAGGCACAGAUUUAACAUGGACCACAUUGGGGCGGGAAUCAUUUAAGUAGAAAUGCAAAGGCUUAACUUCAAAAAGAAAUUAUUUUGUGGGCUUAUCUUAAUAAAAACUUGUAUCUAAAAUUUUGGCCAAAA